rnacentral:rRNA from 1 species
GAGGUGGAGUGUAGGGGGGAAGGUAAUCGGGAGCGGUAAGCACUUCAAUGAUAUCGUCCACCGUGCCGGGGACGAUAGUACGACGCCCUCCUGUGUUACAACGGGGGGUGACGAGUUGAGCUCAUAUAUCCCUUUGAUCGGUGGUAAAGUACUUGUUCGACCCUAUAACACUCUUCACACCUACCGAUCUUGUACAGAUCGACUCCAACUACUACAAAAACCAGUAGACACCCCGCCAACAAUCGGAAGCGUGGGUACCUGGCUUUACCGCCCCAGUUCGUAAAACGGACAGUAAGAGGAGGGAAGUGGGAAGAACGAGCAGUCACCAAGACUAUCGUCCACCGCACUGAUGGUAGCCACUGGUUUUUACACACGUAGCAAAAGAAAGGACAGAGGAGAGGAGGCGAGUAGCAAGCCAGCGAUGAUAAAAAAACGGCACAAAGAACAGUGUGGAUAUAAUCAACAACGAACAAUAAAACAGAAAAUCGGUACCAAAGUAUCUAAAGCACAACCCACCGAAGGAGGACAACACAAAAGGAUGCUCACAGUAAGAGCAGCAGACCAAGUAAUAAAAACCAAACGUAACCAACCAACGAUCAUGAUAGUGGUAACAACCCCAACACAAUAAGUCAAACCACCGUACUACGUACGUACACACCGUAGCCCAAAUAAUCACCAUAUGGUAAGAAACUCAGACCCAUAUCAAGGGAUAAAACGAAAGGAAGUAGUUACAAUACUACGAAAACUGGGAGGGAUUGAGAGCUACAAGAAGAAGCAGAUCAUCCGAGAAGGAUGGUAGUAGCCUCCUACUUCACCGGUGACAGAACGCCACCUAAAGCCAACGACCUCCAUAACAAUAAAGACUAUCCUGAUAUCCCGAAAGAAUACAAUGUAUCGUGAUUGUGCUUAAGCAAUACAAACUCCAUCUGUCACUGUGUUGAUAACUCUUACGAGAUCAAAAGUAACAGAUCUGGUUCAACACAACCAAAAGUACGCGGCUUCACUUUCGGUGCAGGGGUUAGCACGAACUAAGCCAGGGCGUUACUGUUAUCAAUAACACACAAAACAAGAAUAACUCCCACAACAGAACCUCAAGAUCUCCUAUAGAGAUCCCACUUUAGUACACAGGAUUGGAAGAACUCCAACACGCCACUUCAACGAACCUCAACAAACAACGUAGAGCACCAACACUAGAGGCAUGUACCACCUCAACACAUAACAUCACCCUAAUGUACCUCACAAAAACCAAAUAAUACAACACACAAUACCACCACAUGUCACACAACAACAGCCGUAUACAAACCCAUCAUUAGAACUGUCAUAAGGAUCAACGUAUACAAGAUAUGCCACGUCCCUACCCUAACAUGUUAUUAUAUUAACAAGCGGGUGGUACGGCACAUAAUACCACCAAGUAACACACAUAGGCGAAUAUUGUGAGGAGAAAAUCCUUGUAUUAAGAGUACGAAUUGUGUUGAAAAUCCUUGUAUUAAUAUCGAAGUUCAUUAAUGUGGUGAAGAAGAAAAUAGUAAAGAAAGUGAAAACCUGAUUUCGUAGGGACUAGUAGUUGUUACCCAGACCCUAAAAUACUCAAGAGCUGUUAGUAGUCCACCUUACAAUUUAAAGUUCUACCCGAUAAAAAACAUCACAAAUAAUCAUCUAGGUUUUUUUAUCUUCAGUUAAAGAAGAGCUAGUCUAAAAUACCAUAAAAAAAAACCUUCAAUUGGAAGUGUUGUCAACAUAUACUCUUUUCAAUGGUUUGUGAUAUACUAAUUUUAGUAGAACACCACAUCGUUCCUAUUAUUUCAUUCAUCUUUAAUAACACCAAGACGUAUCCUGUAGUUUCUUCUUCUUCUUCUUCUUCUUCUUCUAGACUUGAUAAAGAAAGAAAGAUUGCAAUACUACUGAAACGAUACGAUACGAAUAAUGAACCCAACCCAUUGUUCUAAAGUCUAGAUUUGAUUAAGAUAGAAACACUACAAAUACUAAAUUUAAUGAAUCUUCAACAUACAUGGAUAAUCUCACAACUUGGCAUCUGGGGUUUCCACUGUCUACACUAUAGUAACCUUAUCGAUAUUAGGGUCCUAGUGUAAGUAGGCACUUCAAAAUUACGCGACGAGACACACUAAAAUGUCCGAACUGACGAGGAUAACACAUGAUACUAGCACAUAAGUUUACAUGAUAAAAUAUCUUCAAUUGUCAGGUCUACACAUAAAAGUACAACACCUACAAACUUACUAUUUUAAUGGGAACUUAUGUUUUCAGUUACCCUAUAUACUUUUCUUAUACAAUACCGGAGAGCGCAUUCAAAUGUAAACAGUCAUGGAUAAAAAUAGCCUAUAGUCAAAUAGCGAACGAGAGUGUGUGCAAACCGCACGGCGGUAUCCCAAAAACAAUGGUCAGUCAAAAACAAUCUUUAAGUUUUGUUCCUUUCAGCCUCCACUCGUUACGUUAUCUAACAUAUGAAGUUUAUAGGUGCCCAGGAGCCGCAACGAAGGUAGUCGGAAUCACACCAAACUUUUAAGUAACAUUAAAAUAAAUAAAUUUAACAGAGUAGAUCCAGAAGCUGAGUUUUGAACAAACUAGAACCGAUACCUUGGCGUACACCUGAAUAUCAGGUGAUUCGUGAAACAGGUUAUCGAACUGAAAUCUCAUUUUUACUCAACACGUGAAACCGAAGUUGUAACUACAUUUUAACCAAAAUGUACCCUACAGGUCAAACC